CUACGGGAGGCUCCAGUGAGGAAUAUUGCACAAUGGGGGGAACCCUGAUGCAGCAACGCCGCGUGGAGGAUGACGCAUUUCGGUGUGUAAACUCCUUUUAUAUGUCAAGAAAAUGACGGUAGCAUAUGAAUAAGCGCCGGCUAACUCCGUGCCAGCAGCCGCGGUAAUACGGAGGGCGCAAGCGUUAUUCGGAAUCACUGGGCGUAAAGGACGCGUAGGCGGGUUGAAAAGUCAGGUGUGAAAGCCUACAGCUUAACUGUAGAACUGCACUUGAAACUCUCAAUCUAGAGUAUGGGAGGGGCAGAUGGAAUUAGUGGUGUAGGGGUAAAAUCCGUAGAUAUCACUAGGAAUACCUAAAGCGAAGGCGAUCUGCUGGAACAUUACUGACGCUAAGGCGUGAAAGCGUGGGGAGCAAACAGGAUUAGAUACCCUAGUAGUC
rnacentral:rRNA from 1 species